GUCCCUGUAGCGCAAUGAAUAGCGCGUUGGACUUUUAAUUCAAACGUCGUGAGUUGUAAGUCCCACAUGGGAUG